UGCAAAUAGCUCAGUUGGAAGAGCAUGAGACUCUUGAUCUCAGGGUCGUGGGUUUGAAUCCUACACUGAGCAA